UAAAAAAGCCAGUAUAUAGGUAUUUUAGGGGUCAUUGUAACACACACACACACACACACACACACACGGAAAAAAGAGAGAGAGAGAGAGAGAGAGAGAGAGAGAGAGAGAGAGAGAGAGAGAGAGAGAGAGAGAGAGAGAGAGAGAGAGAGAGAGAGAGAGAGAGAGAGAGAGAGAGUCAGAGAAGGUAAUAUAAUUUGGGUGUUACAGUCUGUUAAUUCAAGAAGAAGAAGAAGAGUCUGUUCAAGAAGGGUCAAAUAUCUUACCUUAAUAUAUUCAGGUGGGGCAGUCUGUUCAAGAAGGGUCAAGGGUCAAAUAUCUUACCUUAAUAUAUUCGGGUGAGUCAGUCUGUUAUUACAUGAAGAAGAGGAAGGGUCAAAGGUCAAGUAGCUCACCUUAAUAUAUUGGGGUGGGGCAGUCUGUUAAUAGUACAUAAAGAAGAGGAAGGGUCAAAGGUCAAGUAGCUCACCUUAAUAUAUUGGGGUGGGGCAGUCUGUUAAUAGUACAUAAAGAAGAGGAAGGGUCAAAGGUCAAGAAGCUCACCUUAAUAUAUUGGGGUGGUGCAGUCUGUUAAUAGUACAUAAAGAAGAGGAAGGGUCAAAGGUCAAGAAGCUCACCUUAAUAUAUUGGGGUGGUGCAGUUUGUUCAUGAGCUCCACUUCUCUGAGCAUG